UACAGAGGUCCCAAGCGUUGUUCGGAUUCACUGGGCGUAAAGGGUGCGUAGGCGGUCGGGUAAGUCUGACGUGAAAUCCCGCAGCUCAACUGCGGAACUGCGUCGGAUACUAUUCGGCUUGAGGAAUGGAGGGGAGACUGGAAUUCUCGGUGUAGCAGUGAAAUGCGUAGAUAUCAAGUGGAACACCAGUGGCGAAGGCGAGUCCCUGGACAACUCCUGACACUGAGGCACGAAAGCUAGGGGAGCAAACAGG
rnacentral:rRNA from 1 species